rnacentral:rRNA from 1 species
AAGGGUGGCGUAGGCGGCCUGUUAAGUCAGGGGUGAAAGACGGUAGCUCAACUAUCGCAGUGCCCUUGAUACUGAUGGGCUUGAAUGGACUAGAGGUAGGCGGAAUGAGACAAGUAGCGGUGAAAUGCAUAGAUAUGUCUCAGAACACCGAUUGCGAAGGCAGCUUACUAUGGUCUUAUUGACGCUGAGGCACGAAAGCGUGGGGAUCAAACAGGAUUAGAUACCCUUGU